AGCGGCGGACGGGUGAGUAACGCGUGGGUAACCUGCCCUGUACACACGGAUAACAUACCGAAAGGUAUGCUAAUACGAGAUAAUAUGCUUUUAUCGCAUGGUAGAAGUAUCAAAGCUCCGGCGGUACAGGAUGGACCCGCGUUGGAUUAGCUAGUUGGUGGGGUAACGGCCCACCAAGGCGACGAUCCAUAGCCGGCCUGAGAGGGUGAACGGCCACAUUGGGACUGAGACACGGCCCAGACUCCUACGGGAGGCAGCAGUGGGGAAUAUUGCACAAUGGGGGAAACCCUGAUGCAGCGACGCCGCGUGAAGGAAGAAGUAUCUCGGUAUGUAAACUUCUAUCAGCAGGGAAGAUAGUGACGGUACCUGACUAAGAAGCCCCGGCUAACUACGUGCCAGCAGCCGCGGUAAUACGUAGGGGGCAAGCGUUAUCCGGAUUUACUGGGUGUAAAGGGAGCGUAGACGGUGUGGCAAGUCUGAUGUGAAAGGCAUGGGCUCAACCUGUGGACUGCGUUGGAAACUGUCAUACUUGAGUGCCGGAGGGGUAAGCGGAAUUCCUAGUGUAGCGGUGAAAUGCGUAGAUAUUAGGAGGAA
rnacentral:rRNA from 1 species